rnacentral:rRNA from 1 species
GACGAACGCUGGCGGCGUGCUUAACACAUGCAAGUCGAACGGUGAAGCGCCUUCCUUUUUGGUGGGUGUGGAGGAGUGGCGAACGGGUGAGUAACACGUGAGUAACCUGCCCCCUUCUUCUGGAUAACCGCAUGAAAGUGUGGCUAAUACGGGACAUUCUGGGUCUGUCGCAUGAUGGGUCCGGGAAAAAUCUUGUUUCGGUGGGGGAUGGGCUCGCGGCCUAUCAGCUUGUUGGUGGGGUGAUGGCCUACCCAGGCGGUGACGGGUAGGCGGCCUGGGAGGGUGAGCGGUCACACUGGGACUGAGACACGGACCAGACUCCUACGGGCGGCAGCGGGGGAGAAUAUUGAACGAUGGGCGCAAGGCUGAUGCAGCGACGCCGCGGGGGAGAUGGAGGCCGUCGGGUUGUGAACCUCUUUCGCGAGUGAAGCAGGCCUGCCUCGUUUGUGGGUGGGUUGACGGUAGCUGGAUAAGAAGCGCCGGCUAACUACGUG